UACAGAGGGUGCAAGCGUUAAUCGGAAUUACUGGGCGUAAAGCGCGCGUAGGUGGUUUGUUAAGUUGGGUGUGAAAGCCCCGGGCUCAACCUGGGAACUGCAUCCAAAACUGGCCAACUAGAGUACAGUAGAGGGUGGUGGAAUUUCCUGUGUAGCGGUGAAAUGCGUAGAUAUAGGAAGGAACACCAGUGGCGAAGGCGACCACCUUGACUGAUACUGACACUGAGGUGCGAAAGCGUGGGGAGCAAACAGU
rnacentral:rRNA from 1 species